rnacentral:lncRNA from 1 species
UCCAUUGAAAAAUUCAACAUGGUAAUUUUAGCAUAAGCAAGUGUGAUAAAUAUAUCAUUAACACCCUGAUAACUAUAGCAUUAGCACCAUGAUAAUUACAUAAGAGUCGUGUUGGUAGUCUAAACAGUGGAAGAAUCAGUGAAAGACGCUACAUCAACUGUUGUAGAACAAAAAAUGUGAGCCACGAUGGCGAAGGGAGUGGUGACGGACGCACUCGUCGACAACGUGGUCUGGUGGGGCACGCCAUGAAGCUUCAGAAUUCUCUUUGUGAAUGCACCUAUGCGCACCUUGACACCCAUGUUGUAUCUUGUGUGAAUCUUCCUUUUUGUCUGUCUGAUCUUGCUAAGAAAUCUGCAAUCACUUCAAGUCCAUUAUCCUGCUUUGACAAAAGUCUGAAACUAGUAGCAACAUGUUUAAGCUUCAGAUUUGAGAGUCAAGUCAGGAGAGUGCCAGAAACAUAUGGAGGAGGCAAGUGUCAAACAACAAUCACCCUCGUCCCAGAAAUUCCAUGGAGAAAAUUUCGAGUAGUUACCAGUUGCAACCUAGCUCACAAGGUGAUGCGCGUUAACAGUACUGAAGCAAUAUAAAAGUAGUUAACCACCAGCAGAAACGCGAAGCUAUUAGUCCGACUGAAAGAGGACCAGGAGCAGGAGAUCAACAAGGAGAGAAGGGAGGAAACAAACGACAGCAAUGGCGAGUGUCGAAGGAGACGUGAAGCUGUUGGGCCUACGGCUGAGCCUGUUCAUUGCACGUGUGCGCAUGGCGCUGGACGCCAAGGGCGUGGGCUACAAGUAUGUCGAGCAGGACCUGGCUGCCAAGAUUCGACGAGUACUUUGUUCACACCGUCUACAUUCCCAUUCUUCCAUAAUAGAUCAGGUAAUAACCGACCAUACAUGAGCUCCAGUGAAUGUAGAACUAAAGCCAGUAAAAAUAUCACUACAAUCUUUCCUUUCCCGGAGGCAAUGGCAUGCAGUCCAGCCAAGAUCCCAAAAUACAAAAAACAGAAGUGCAGCAAAAACAACAUGUUUCCAUUAAUCAUUGUCAAACUCAUUUCUACCAAGUGAUAGUCCAGCGCCGUCUCAUUUCUAGACAAAAGUGCAACUCAGAAAGCCGGCCGGCAUUUCACCAAAAAGCACACACAUAAUUCACCCAAAAUUUGAGAUGAUACGAGAUGGAGCCUACAAUAAUCUAGUCUUUACAUAGGCAUAACAAUGUGCAUGCGGGAGCAGGUACAGUUCGAAUAAACCAUGUCGGCAGCAGUGAUUUUGAAUGUUGAAGAGGGGCAAGAUGGGAAGCACUAGUGAUUACCAGGAACUUGUGGUAGACGAACGCCCUUGGCUCCCACGAGACGAACUCCAUCCACUGCGCACCCCGCUCGCCCGGCCCCUCGCGGACAACAACAGAGACAACCGUCGGGAUCAGAUCAGCUAGCACUGGAUCGAAGAGAAUAUGGAGAGAGACUAGUGCAUCGGAACCACUCACACACUCACCACAGGUCGCGGCGGGCGCGCGCGGGGCGUGAGGAGUCACCGGAUUCAGAUGCGGCCUCGUCGUCGCCGGAUGACUCGGUCUCAGCGCCGGUGGUGGGGAGCGUGGGGGAGGAUACGGGGAGCGGGCCGGCCAGGCGGACGGGAUGGUCGCGCUCCUGGAGGGGGCCUUCGAAGAGUGCUCGGACGGCGGCGGCUUCUUCCGCGGCGGCCGGCUUGGGAGGACGCUGUGUGGGGAUUC